rnacentral:ncRNA from 1 species
CCUCCGCUCUCCCCGCACAGGAGAGCGGACCGAGGAACCGGCGCUCUCUGCCCUGACUGCGCCGGGACCUCCCGAUCGGCCGUCCAGUACCGCACAUUCUGGCGGCCGAUGCACCUGAAGGGCUGCGGUGCCGUGGGUGGGUUGAGGGUCCCGCCCUGGCGC